GGGGGAGCUGGUGGGUGUCGGGAGAGUUGGGGUUGGGGGAGGUCGCCACGGUCGGACACUCAGCCCCCGACUCACGCAGGACCCCCGGAUUGGGGCGGCCGCCGUCAGGCUCCAGCCCACUGCCCUCGCAGGGCGGGCCACCUGGAGGCGGGCCACCUGGAGGCGGGAGGAGUCGACAGCGAUCAUAGUGAAAAUUCUCUCAAACCCGGCUCCCUCCUCCUUCGAAUCCGAGCCCUGGGAAGGGGCUCCGAGGCGCCUUCGGACUCCCCAGGCAGCGGAAACCCCAAGACAGAGACCUCGGUGACCCAGACCCCCUUCUCCAAGCCGAGAAUCCCUCUGCACCACAGCUGGCGCAGGAGUGAGGAGUUGUCGAAGGAGGCGCCGGGUUUCCUCGUAGAUGGGCGUGUUAUAUACAAGGGUUUUUCCUCCGAUCGCAACCGCAAUACGACCAGCUUUCGGGACUGAGCACCCGCUCAAUCUCCCGGUACUGGAGUCGGGGUUGUUGUGAAGACUAAAUGAAAUAAUGUAUUUGAAAGUUCCUGAUGUACAGGAAGUGCUCAAUAUUGAAGGCGAGGUUGGAUCAGGCACAGACCUGAGGGAUGGGGUCUGGGAAACCUGCAAUUUCUUUAUAUCAUUUCGUCUGCUUUGGACCCUACCUUUCAAAGAUGACUGUCGUUAUGAUUGGCUGUUAAUAUCUUUUCAGCUAACGGUCUCCCACCACCAGCCUCUAUGAGUGAAUGGCACCUGAAUUAUUUACUUUUUGGAACUCCUCGUUG
rnacentral:lncRNA from 1 species